ACCCCAAACCGACACAGGUGGUUAGGUAGAGAAUACUCAGGCGCUUGAGAGAACUCGGGUGAAGGAACUAGGCAAAAUGGUGCCGUAACUUCGGGAGAAAGCACGCUAGCAUUAAGUGAAGGGUCUAGCAUCCGGAGCUGAAGCCAGUCGAAGAUACCAGCUGGCUGCAACUGUUUAUUAAAAACACAGCACUGUGCAAACACGAAAGUGGACG
rnacentral:rRNA from 1 species